ensembl:lncRNA
AAGUGGAUUCAAUGAGGAUGAGGAAGCACCGCUCUCAUAUGCGAACAGAGUCAGUGCCGUGGUAACCAACAGCCUGCCAAUCUCUGAAGGCCACUACAGUCAAGAUUCAGAUCCAUCUUAUGACGGAGCUCACAAGGGAAUGGACCACUAUCUGGACAGCCUGUUUGACCCUGUACUGUCGGACAGAACUGGGGAUAUGGAUGCAUCUCUUCUGUCUGGUAGAAUGAAAGGGGGAGGCGGUGUGGGUGGUAACCAUGACAGCAGAGUUCCAGCCGCAGCCAGUGUGCCUUACUCAGCAGCUCUGCAACCAGGAGGUAAAACACACACACAUA